UGAUUUGGAUCACCACAUUCAAAGCACCUUGGAGCAUUGUUCCCACCUCUCUUCCUUGAACGAACAUUUUGCAGGGCACGUGUAAAACGAGAGGUGAGGAGUGCCAAUUCUUCCUCUAGGUAUUGCUCUAGCUGUUCAUCAGUUAGUUGAGACAAAAAAGACAGAGCAUAGCAAUAUGUAGAAGUACCAUCAUUAGAGCUGCCAGGGUUAGUAACAAGUGCAAUUGAUUUGGAACCGGUUCUCCUAGCAAGAAUAUCUAAUUCAUGAGUUUUCAAUUUUGA
rnacentral:lncRNA from 1 species